AUGGCUGGCAGAAUAAGGUCAGUCAACAAAACGUUGUAGUCAUAGGCAAUCAAUGCCUCCUAUAUCCGUUCAUAUAUUCAUCAUUCCUUAGUCUGCCAUUCGGGGUUCAUUCAUUGCACGAUAAUGCUCGAACUCCAAGGCUCUCGUCACUUCAAAACCAAGCUAGGUUCCGAUCAGAUAAGAACAAGUGUAUCAAAAUUUAACUACAUUUAUAUUACGAUUUUACAAACACACGAUUUUACAAACAUACACAAACCUUACAGAAAACACAGACAAGACAACAAACAUACAUUUAAACGAAAACACACUAGCUAAACUGCCUAAAAUCCAGUCAAAAAUACACAAGAAACAUGACGCUAAUAAACACUAACACAUCUACAAACAUAAACAAC